rnacentral:hammerhead_ribozyme from 1 species
AUCCAGCUGACUAGUCCCAAAUAGGACGAAACGCGCGUACAGAAU